rnacentral:telomerase_RNA from 1 species
GGCAGCCAUUUCUCAUCUAACCCUAAUUGAGACAGGCGUAGGUGCUGUGCUUUUGGUUACCGCGCGCUGUUUUUCUCGCUGACUUUCAGCGGGCGGAAAAGCCUCGGCCUACCGCCAUCCACCAUCCAGUCUGGAACAAACAAAAAAUGUCAGCCGCUGGCUCGCUCACCUCUCCCGGGAACCUGCGGUGGCCCGCUCGCCCAGCCCCAGUGCCCCGCCUGAGGCCGCGGUCGGCCGGGUGCUUCUCUGGAAGUGCCCAUUGCCGCCGUGAAGAGUUGGGCUCUGUCAG